ACAUGUGUAUUUUUGUGUACUGUUUUCAAGUGGACUGAGAUUUAAAUGCGUUGUCACUAGAGCUGACUGAAGGAGAAACUUAGUCUCAGAGAGAACUUAUUGGUUCCACAGUUUCAUAUUUCCCACAUACCUUUAAGUUAAGCUAAAGUUUUAAGUGGCAGUUUUCUGUCAGAAACUUCUUCAAGUGCUAACACUGUCUCAUUUUUUUAAAUCCUGGAAAGGGCUCAAAUUGGCAGGUGGCUGGUGCUAGCAUAAAUUAAUCUGGGUGUGUAGCUAGCUACACAGUGUUUAAAUGGUCUGAGCCUGCGCUCUCCUUUGACAUGAAUACGUGAGUUUCUUGGCCGUAGUACUCUGUCG
rnacentral:lncRNA from 1 species